CACGUAGGGCGCAAGCGUUGUCCGGAAUUAUUGGGCGUAAAGGGCGCGUAGGCGGCUUUUCAAGUGACGGGUGAAAUCCCUCGGCUUAACCGAGGAACUGCCUGUCAGACUGGAAGGCUUGAGACCGGGAGAGGUGAGUGGAAUUCCCAGUGUAGCGGUGAAAUGCGUAGAUAUUGGGAGGAACACCAGUGGCGAAGGCGGCUCACUGGACCGGAACUGACGCUGAGGCGCGAAAGCGUGGGGAGCAAACAGG
rnacentral:rRNA from 1 species